GGGCGAAACACGCCGAGUCCUGCCCCGUCCGAUGACCGUCAAACCAACGGCAGGAGCGGGGGAACCACUUCCCGGGCGCUGCACAGCACCCUUGGGGUGAAGCCGCAGGAUGCGGCCGGGCAUUUCCCAGCCCGAACCCGACAGCUUACCUCGCAGGCGUAGGGAAAGGGCAU
rnacentral:sRNA from 2 species